rnacentral:rRNA from 1 species
AUGUCCUAGGGGGUAUUGCACUUACCGAAGACUAUCAAACUCCGAAUACCGUAUUCUUAUGCUUGGGAGUCAGACUGUGGGUGAUAAGAUUCAUAGUCAAAAGGGCAACAGCCCAGAUCGUCAGCUAAGGUCCCUAAAUGUACGUUAAGUGGUAAAGGAUGUGGGAUUGCACAGACAACCAGGAUGUUGGCUUAGAAGCAGCCACUCAUUUAAAGAGUGCGUAAUAGCUCACUGGUCGAGUGAUCCUGCGCCGAAAAUUUCCGGGGCUAAAACGUACUACCGAAGCUACGGCAUCAUUUGAGCGACCGCGUCUGCGAGUUACUUUAUGAUGGGUAGGAGAGCUUUCUAUACGGAUUGAAGCAUUACCGUAAGGAGAUGUGGACUGUAUAGAAGUGAGAAUGUUGGCAUGAGUAGCGAGAUGUGGGUGAGAAUCCCACAGGCCGUAAACCCAAGGUUUCCAGGGGAAGGUUCGUCCGCCCUGGGUUAGUCAGGACCUAAGCCGAGGCCGAAAGGCGUAGGUGAUGGACAACAGGUUGAUAUUCCUGUACCACCAAUAACCGUUUGAGAAAUGGGAUGACACAGUAGGAUAAGCUAACCGCACUGUUGGUUAUGUGCGGGCAA